rnacentral:sRNA from 1 species
UAUCCCCCAAACUAAGGGGGGAUGAGAACCACCGACCGGGGUUCGACAACUGGCGCAGCCAGUUGGACAGACGACGAGCUUGCGAGGAGACUGCCCAACUGGCUGCGCCAGUUGGACAGACGACGAGCUUGCGAGGAGACUGCCCGAAGGGCGAGCGCAGCGAGUCAAUCCCCCCCUCACCGCCA